AACGAACGCUGGCGGCAGGCCUAACACAUGCAAGUCGAGCGCCCCGCAAGGGGAGCGGCGGACGGGUGAGUAACGCGUGGGAAUAUGCCCUUUGCUACGGAAUAGUCUCGGGAAACUGGGGGUAAUACCGUAUACGCCCUUUGGGGGAAAGAUUUAUCGGCGAAGGAUUAGCCCGCGUUGGAUUAGGUAGUUGGUGGGGUAAUGGCCUACCAAGCCGACGAUCCAUAGCUGGUUUGAGAGGAUGAUCAGCCACACUGGGACUGAGACACAGCCCAGACUCCUACGGGAGGCAGCAGUGGGGAAUCUUAGACAAUGGGGGCAACCCUGAUCUAGCCAUGCCGCGUGAGUGAUGAAGGCCUUAGGGUUGUAAAGCUCUUUCAGCUGGGAAGAUAAUGACGGUACCAGCAGAAGAAGCCCCGGCUAACUCCGUG
rnacentral:rRNA from 1 species